GACGAAGGAUGCAAGCGUUAUCCGGAUUCAUUGGGUUUAAAGGGCGCGUAGGCGGCCCGGUAAGUCAGUGGUGAAAGCCUGUUGCUUAACAACAGAACUGCCAUUGAUACUGCUGGGCUUGAGUACAGAUGCUGUGGGCGGAAUAUGACAUGUAGUGGUGAAAUACAUAGAGAUGUCAUAGAACACCGAUUGCGAAGGCAGCUCACAGAACUGUAACUGACGCUGAGGCACGAAAGUGCGGGGAGCAAACAGG
rnacentral:rRNA from 1 species